rnacentral:rRNA from 1 species
GAUACGCGACGGAACCUUACCUGGGCUCAAAUGUAUGUUGACGUAUUUCUGAAAGGGAUACUUCUUCGGACAAUAUACAAGGUGCUGCAUGGUUGUCGUCAGCUCGUGCCGUGAGGUGUCGGGUUAAGUCCCAUAACGAGCGCAACCCCUAUCAUUAGUUGCCAUCAGGUAAUGCUGGGGACUCUAAAGGAACUGCCUACGCAAGUAGUGAGGAAGGCGGGGAUGACGUCAAAUCAGCACGGCCCUUACGUCCAGGGCUACACACGUGCUACAAUGGCCGGUACAAAGGGCAGCUACCUGGUGACAGGAUGCUAAUCUCAAAAGCCGGUCUCAGUUCGGAUCGGAGUCUGCAACCCGACUGCGUGAAGUCGGAAUCGCUAGUAAUCGUGAAUCAGAAUGUCACGGUGAAUACGUUCCCGGGCCUU